UGCGGGGCUAGAAGUGUGUUCUACAGGGAAGCGGGGAACUUCGUUCCAGCAGCGCCGAAACCCGCACGGCCCCUAGGCUGUCCCUCCGCGCCCGGGUGACUUCCUUUCAGAUCCCCAGCGAAGCUCCCAGCGGAGCCCUCCCACCCCUCGCCCGCUUGCUCCCGCCUGCGGGUCUGGAGUAGCGCUCGCGAUUGGCCCCGAUCACCGCCGCCGUCCUGCCCCCUCGUUGCAGAGAUUCCGAUUGGAGGUGGCCCGGGGCAAGCGCGCCGCCCUCUUCUUCGCUGCGGUGGCCAUCGUGCUGGGGCUACCGCUCUGGUGGAAGACCACGGAGACCUACCGGGCCUCGUUGCCUUACUCCCAGAUCAGUGGCCUGAAUGCCCUUCAGCUCCGCCUCAUGGUGCCUGUCACUGUCGUGUUUACGCGGGAGUCAGUGCCCCUGGACGACCAGGAGAAGCUGCCCUUCACCGUUGUGCAUGAAAGAGAGAUUCCUCUGAAAUACAAAAUGAAAAUCAAAUGCCGUUUCCAGAAGGCCUAUCGGAGGGCUUUGGACCAUGAGGAGGAGGCCCUGUCAUCGGGC
rnacentral:sRNA from 1 species